AAUGGUCCUUGUGUUGAUUUUGUGUUCAAUUUCGUCCCAAAGAACGAAUUUUAUGUUCAAUUCGGUCCUUUUCAGUAACUCCGUUAAAAUUGUUAACGACAACGUGUCCAGAUGUGCAACUGCUGAGUGAGGUGUCAGUUUUUUGCUGACUAGUAAUCCUUUUCAGUUGGAAUUAGGAUUUUUUAAAAAAUUUAGAAGGGUAAAGUGGAAAAAAAAGAAAGACUUUCUUCUUCCUCUGAAACCCUAAUUCACCAUUACCCAAACCCCAACCGCCGACCACCGACCACCAUCCAUCAUCUUCUUCCUCGCACGCCGUCAGCAACCAUCGCACCUCGCACCUCCAUCACCGUCGCACCUCCAUCACCAUUGCACCUCCAUCACCCUCGCACCUCCAUCACCAUCGCACCUCGAUCACCCUCGCACCUCCAUCACCAUCGCAUCUCGCACCUGCAGAAAACAAACCCAAAAGCAGAAACGGUGGCAGCCUCCAGCAUUUUCCAAUUCCACUUCGUGUGCCCUUUUCCCCAAAUCUGAACCCUAAUUUUGGGCAGAGUUGUUCUUCCUUGUCCCUAUUAGAUCCAUUAUUGUCGAUGUCCUCCUCUUCUCUUUUCUAUUCACCAUUGACUAAGUUUCCUCCUGCAUUUGACAGUUUCC
rnacentral:lncRNA from 1 species